rnacentral:rRNA from 1 species
AACGAACGCUGGCGGCAUGCCUAACACAUGCAAGUCGAACGAAGGCUUCGGCCUUAGUGGCGCACGGGUGCGUAACGCGUGGGAAUCUGCCCUUUGGUUCGGAAUAACAGCUGGAAACGGCUGCUAAUACCGGAUGAUGACGAAAGUCCAAAGAUUUAUCGCCAGAGGAUGAGCCCGCGUUGGAUUAGGUAGUUGGUGGGGUAAAGGCCUACCAAGCCGACGAUCCAUAGCUGGUCUGAGAGGAUGAUCAGCCACACUGGGACUGAGACACGGCCCAGACUCCUACGGGAGGCAGCAGUGGGGAAUAUUGGACAAUGGGCGCAAGCCUGAUCCAGCAAUGCCGCGUGAGUGAUGAAGUCCCUAGGGUUGUAAAGCUCUUUUACCCGGGAAGAUAAUGACUGUACCGGGAGAAUAAGCCCCGGCUAACUCCGUG